GCCUAGUUAGCUUAGUUGGUAGCGCGUCUGCCUUGGUAGCGCUAGGCCGCGGGUUCGAUUCCCGCCCGGGGCG
rnacentral:tRNA from 1 species